GUGGCGGCGGGGGCAGCUGGGAAAGGUAUCUUUCCAUGAACGGGAGUUUAAAAUUUUAAGCUAAAUUGAUAGGAUGUAAUUCUGGAGAUUCCGCUUGCCAUCUGGCUUCUGUGAAGGGAGAUUCUUCUGAAAAAUGAAGAUAAUACAAGGAACAUAGAAUCAAGAGAGGGAGAGAAUCAAUUUCUGCGGACACCAUUAAGGAACUGGAUCCAGCCAUGCUUAGACCAAAAAUAAGUGAGUUUUCAUUUAUAUGAGCCAUUAACUUUUCCUCCCCUUCCUCCCUUUUCUCCCCCUUUUCUUUUUGUUACAGUUGUCACUUUUAGUGUCAUUAGCAACUAUUUCUAAUGUAGUGUCAUCAGGAGCAGAGAACAUGUCCUGUAUAAUUUGUUGUUUGGAAUUUCUUGAAGUUCUUUGUGGACCAUGAGUCUAUUUUUCAGAAUGUUUCAUGUGUGUUUGAAAUGAAUAUUCUUUUUAAUUGGUUCUCAAUCCAAAUUGUGUUAUUUAAAUAUUCUGUAAUCUAAUUUUUUUUGUCUAUAUGAUGCUGAUUUAAAAGAGAGUUGUAUUAAAGUCUUUUACUAUGAUUGUAGGUAUAUCAGUGUUUCCUUGCCUUUUGCAAGGAAUGUUUUAGGCUUUCUAUAUGUUACAUAUAUAAAGUUUCAUUGCAAUUGUAAUUUCUUGGUCAAUUGAGCCUUUUAUCAUCAUAAAACACUACUGUCCCUUUUUCCUCUUAUUUUUUCCUGAAAUUCUAUUUGGUCUGAUAUUUACAUGGUUACAUCUGUUUGUUUUUUUUGGUUAACAU